rnacentral:rRNA from 1 species
UACAGAGGCCUCGAGCGUUAGGCGGAAUCACUGGGCUUAAAGCGUGUGUAGGCGGAUGCCUAAGUACCUUGUGAAAUCCCACGGCUCACCCGUGGAACGGCUCGGUAUACUGGGCGUCUUGAGCCACCUAGGGGCAGUCGGAACAGACGGUGGAGCGGUGAAAUGCGUAGAUAUCGUCUGGAACGCCGAAGGUGAAAACAGACUGCUGGGGAUGUGCUGACGCUGAGACACGAAAGCCAGGGGAGCGAACGGG